rnacentral:rRNA from 1 species
CACGUAGGGGGCGAGCGUUGUCCGGAUUUAUUGGGCGUAAAGCGCGCGUAGGCGGACCUGCAAGUCGGGGGUGAAAGCCCGAGGCUCAACCUCGGAACUGCCUUUGAUACUGCGGGUCUCGAGUCCGGGAGAGGUGAGUGGAAUUCCUGGUGUAGCGGUGGAAUGCGCAGAUAUCAGGAGGAACAUCCGUGGCGAAGGCGGCUCUCUGGGACGGUACUGACGCUGAGACGCGAAAGCGUGGGGAGCGAACAGG